rnacentral:rRNA from 1 species
CACGUAGGGCGCAAGCGUUGUCCGGAAUUAUUGGGCGUAAAGGGCUCGUAGGCGGUUUGUCGCGUCGGGAGUGAAAACACUGGGCUUAACUCAGUGCUUGCUUCCGAUACGGGCAGACUAGAGGUAUUCAGGGGAGAACGGAAUUCCUGGUGUAGCGGUGAAAUGCGCAGAUAUCAGGAGGAACACCGGUGGCGAAGGCGGUUCUCUGGGAAUGUCCUGACGCUGAGGAGCGAAAGUGUGGGGAGCGAACAGG